UUGAUUUUUCUUCCAAAGCAAAGAGCGUCCUCCUGCUGAGCGUUCUGCCGGCUUUUUGUCACAUUUUCACCGUCACCGCACGCCUGUGCCAAAUAAUAAUAGGGACACCUGCCGAGCGGCUGAUUUUGGGGAACAUGAAUGCAGCGUUCGAGCGAACAAAAAGUGAUCCUUGUCUUCUGUGUAGCAGUUGUGGGCUGAUGAAACCUGAUGGCAGUGCCAUGCUACAGCACCAGUUAGGUCCCAAAGACCAGAGUGGACUCCAUCAUUUGUAAAUGGAAGAGUUUGGAACAACCGGGACUCUUCCUAGAGCUGUCCAGCCAUCUAAACUGAGCAAUCAGGGCCCUAGUCAGGGAGGUGACCAAGAACUCAAUGCUCACCCUAUCGAGAUAUCUGGAGAGAUCUAAAAAGACUGCACACCGACGCUUCCCAUCCAACUUAAUGGCGCUUCAGAGAUGCUGCAAAGAGAAAUGGUCGAAACUGCCCAAAGACAGGUGUGUAUGGUAUCCAAAAAGACUUGUAAUUGCUGCCAAAGUUGCAUCAACAAAGUACCAUAUUUCCUUGAAUUGCCGCCGGGGCGCUAAUUAUUUUAAAACCUCUUCUCACUCCGGCGCUUACCAAAGGCAUGCGGUAAAAGUAAGCAUGCACUAAUUAUUUUAAAACCUCUUUUCACUCCGGCACUUACCAAAGGCAUGCAGUAAAAAAAUUGAGUGUGAUGUAAGCUUGGACCUUAAAUCCUACUGAAUAGCUCUUAAUCUUCUUCCCUUUAUGCGAUUUCAAAUUACCGGUAUCGAAAUCAGCCUCCUCCAUUUUGAAAAUGAUGACAGCGAAAGUGUCACUCAUGACGUCACGAGUUUGACCAGGCGGUAAUACUAAGCAUGCGCUAAUUAUUUUGGCAGUAAUUCAAGGCAGGCGCACACUAUAUGCCCUGCGGCAAUUCAAGGAAAUACGGUAUAUGUAUAAAUGUGAUUUCUUAGCCAAUUAUUUUAAACACAUUUGCAAUAAAAAAAAAGUAACAAAAAAACUGUUUCACAUUGUCAUUGUAGAUUCCUAAUGACACCUUAGCCCAGGAGUAGGGAACCUAUGGCUCUAGAGCCAGAUGUGGCUCUUUUGAUGACUGCGUCUGGCUCUCAGAUAAAUUUCAACAUUUGACAACCAAACAAUUAAACAAGGUGACUCGGUAAAAAAUCUGGGUAUUAUCUUCGACCCAACUCUCUCCUUUGAGUCACACAUUAAAAGCGUUACUAAAACGGCCUUCUUUAAUCU